GACGAACGCUGGCGGCGUGCUUAACACAUGCAAGUCGAACGAUGAAGCCCAGCUUGCUGGGUGGAAGAGUGGCGAACGGGUGAGUAACACGUGAGUAACCUGCCCUGAACUCUGGGAUAAGCACCGGAAACGGUGUCUAAUACUGGAUACGACCUAUCACCGCAUGGUGUGUGGGUGGAAAGAUUUAUCGGUUCUGGAUGGACUCGCGGCCUAUCAGCUAGAUGGUGAGGUAAUGGCUCACCAUGGCGACGACGGGUAGCCGGCCUGAGAGGGUGACCGGCCACACUGGGACUGAGACACGGCCCAGACUCCUACGGGAGGCAGCAGUGGGGAAUAUUGCACAAUGGGCGCAAGCCUGAUGCAGCAACGCCGCGUGAGGGAUGACGGCCUUCGGGUUGUAAACCUCUUUUAGUAGGGAAGAAGCGAAAGUGACGGUACCUGCAGAAAAAGCACCGGCUAACUACGUG
rnacentral:rRNA from 1 species